rfam:Rattus norvegicus chromosome 11, whole genome shotgun sequence.
GUCUACGGCCAUACCACCCUGAACGCGGCCGAUCUCGUCUGAUAUCGGAAGCUAAGCAGGGUUGGGCCUGGUUAGUACUUGGAUGGGAGAAUAUAUUGUAAUAAGCUGUUUGUUUAAAACA